AUCAACGGAGAGCUGACCUCAGCUGACAGAGAAACAGCAGAGGAGGUGUCUGCAAGGAUAGUUCAAGUAGUCACUGCUGAGGCUGUAGCAGUCCUGAAAGGUGAACAAGAGAAAGAAGCUCAACAUAAAGACCAGACUGCAGCUCUGCCUUUAGCAGCUGAAGAAACAGCUAAUCUGCCUCCUUCUCCACCCCCAUCACCUGCCUCAGAACAGACUGUCACAGUGGAGGAAGCAGCAGGUGGGGAAUCAGCUCUGGCUCCCAGUGUAUUUAAACAGGCAAAGGACAAAGUCUCUGGUGUCCAUGUGCAGGCUUGUUACAAGGGUAUAUUACGUGAUGCUGAGAAUUCUACCUUGUCAAAGAUUCCUGCUUUACAGGGUAGCACAAAGUCCCCAAGAUACAGCUCAGCCUGCCCUAGCACGACUAAAAGGGCUACAUUUUCUGACAGUUUAUUAAUACAGCCCACCUCAGCAGGCUCCACAGACCGUUUGCCAUACUCAAAAUCAGGGAACAAGGACGGAGUAACCAAGAGCCCAGAAAAGCGCUCUUCUCUCCCAAGACCUUCCUCCAUUCUCCCUCCUCGGCGAGGUGUGUCAGGAGACAGAGAUGAGAAUUCCUUCUCUCUC
rnacentral:lncRNA from 1 species